UCCUAAGAAACACAUAUAAGUCGAUAAGCGAAGAGAGGUAAACACAUUCUGACACAACGUUUAGAGACAGUCAUUGCUGUACCUGAGCCAAAGUCCAGUCCUGACGAGAACCAACGUUUCCAGUCACCAAAGCACAUUUCUCUAUCUCUCGCAUUAAGGUGAAUUUCCAGGUAAAACAAGUUACAAUGUCUGGUUGUUCUGAUAGUUGUGUGCAGAUAAAUGUAGGGGAUAAGGUAUGCACACAUGUUGAUGAGCAAACGUUGAAGAACAACCAAUACGGUCAUGGAGGCUGGGAUCGCCGUAUGCCAGGUCUUAUAAAAAAGAUUGGUACGGUUGUGGGAAUCUCGGAUAAUGGAGAUGUAGAGGUGAAAUUUGAGAAAUACGAUGAAAUAUUUACCUUUAAUAAAGCGAGUCUCGUAGUUGUCCAUAUUGAUGACUAAUGAGAUUACUCAGAAUUGGAAACGGAAGAAAACUAAUAAAUAUGAUUAAUACAGCUGUCUUUCUAUCUGCCUCUCUAACUCCUUCUUUCUUUCUCUCUCUCUCUCUCUCUCUGAAGUCUAGACCAUAUUGAUAUAACUGAGAAUACAUAUGUAAUCUUUCUUUCUUUUUCUUUUUCUUUUUCUUCGACUUCUACUUCUACUCCUCCGUCUUUUUUUCCUCCUCCUCUUUCUCCUCCACUCAUCCUAUAAUGAUGACGCUGACACAGAAACCUUCUUCAAUCACCACCUGUCAGCAUCAAUUACUUCAGGCUCAGAAAAUGCUCGAACCCAACAACUGCUAAUCCACACCAAACGUCUUGCUUAAGAGCCACUGGGAAAUACUGCUUCGACAUCUCGGACAAUGUUCAUGAUGCACAUUCUAACGUCCAAGACCAGCUCUUGGCGUCAUUGAGAUGAAGUCGCUUUCUCUCUGACACAGAAACAUGCUUUCUCCUUUCUCUCUCUCUCUCUUCUUUUUCUACUUCUACAACCAUUGGCUGAUACCUCGCCACCUCUAUUCAUUACGUCCAGACUCACUCUUCUCUCUUCCUCUUCGCCCAUAUUUCGUUUCUUCUGCUUUACUUAAAUCGUGUAAUUCGAUACUUAACUCUGCAGUAAAUUGUAAUUUUCAACGUUUCAACUUCAAUAAAUAUCUUAUAACUAUACUUCAGUA